rnacentral:rRNA from 1 species
AAAAAUAAUUGAUAACAUAAGGGAAAAUAAUGAUAUUACCUUAUUAUUAGUGUCGUCCAAAACUGGUGCCAGAAGACUCGGUAAGGCCAGAGACAUAAACGUUAAUCGUCUUAAUCAGGCGUAAAGGGUUUGUAGGCGGCUUUAAAUUUUACUUAAUUAAAAAAAAGAAGUAAAAAAAUAAAAGCUAGAAUCAAAUAGAGGAUAUAUUAAAGAAUGCUUAGAGUAGGUCUGAUAUCUUUAGAUACUAAGUAGAAUAUUAAAGGCGAAAGCUUUUUUCCAUUAAUGAUUGACGCUCAGAAACGAAGGUGAGGAUAGGAAAUAGGAUUAGAUACCCAAAAUACCCCUCUCUGUCAACGAUGAAUGGUAGUUAUUAGUAAAGUAAUUUAUUAAUGAAAAUGUUAACACGAUAACCAUUCCGCCUUGUGAGUACAAUUGCAAAGUUGAAAACAAAAAAAUUAGUCGGUUUCGGAGCAAACGAAGUGAAGCAUGUUAUUU